CCUACGGGGUGCAGCAGUGGGGAAUAUUGGGCAAUGGGCGCAAGCCUGACUCAGCAACGCCGCGUGAAGGAAGAAGGCUUUCGGGUUGUAAACUUCUUUUCUGAGGGACGAAGAACGUGACGGUAACUCAGGCAUAAGCCACGGCUAACUACGUGCCAGCAGCCGCGGUAAUACGUAGGUGGCAAGCGUUAUCCGGAUUUAUUGGGUGUAAAGGGCGUGUAGGCGGGAAAGCAAGUCAGAUGUGAAAACUCAGGGCUCAACCCUGAGCCUGCAUUUGAAACUGUUUUUCGUGAGUGCUGGAGAGGCAAUCGGAAUUCCGUGGGUAGCGGUGAAAUGCGUAGAUAUACGGAGGAACACCAGUGGCGAAGGCGGAUUGCUGGACAGUAACUGACGCGGAGGCGCGAAAGCGUGUGGAGCAAACAGGAUUAGAGACCCCAGUAGUC
rnacentral:rRNA from 1 species